rnacentral:misc_RNA from 1 species
UCCGAGUUGACCCCGGCAGUCUCCUACGAGUCCCCGGCAUUACCCGCUGGCAACAUAGGACAAGGGUUGCGCUCGUUGCGCCACUUAAGGCAACACCUCACGGCACGAGCUGACGACAGCCAUGCACCACCUGUGCGGGCCCCGUAGGGCCCCGUGUUUCCACGGGUUUACCCCGCAUGUCAAGCCCAGGUAAGGUUCUUCGCGUUGCGUCGAAUUAAGCCACAUGCUCCGCCGCUUGUGCGGGCCCCCAUCAAUUCCUUUGAGUUUUAGCCUUGCGGCCGUACUCCCCAGGCGGGGUGCUUAAUGCGUUAGCUUCGGCACGGACGGGGUCGAUAACCGCCCACACCUAGCACCCAUCGUUUACGGCUAGGACUAC